GUCGGCUAGCUCAGCUGUUAAAGCAUGAGACUCUUAAUCUCGGGCUUGUGAGUUCGAAUCCCGCAUUGGGCA